UUCCAGAGCCGCCGCCAUCGCGACGCCAAGAUCUGGGGGACAGGAGUCUCUGUUCUGGCACCCUGCCGGAGCGGGGAAGUGCCCCCGGAAGGCUUCUCCAUCGACACCGCUGCCAUCUCCACCGCCAUCUUCAUCACCGCUGCUGCUCCCAUGAGGAGGGAGUAGUUCUCCAUCGAGGCUCGGGGCUGUACCGGUAGCUAUGUGGUUCAUCUCUCUCCUAUGUGCUUCAAUACAAUAAUCUCAUGAGCUGCCUUACAUGAUUGAGAUUCAUAUGAUGAUGCUUGUAAUCUAGAUGUCAUUAUGCUAGUCAAGUGAGUUUUACUUAUGUGAUCUCCGGAGACUCCUCGUCCCACGUGUGUAAAGGUGACAGUGUGUGCACCGUGUGGGUCUCUUAGGCUAGAUUUCACAGAAUACUUAUUCACUGUUGAAUGGCAUAGUGAGGUGCUUAUUUAUAUCUCUUUAUGAUUGCAA